rnacentral:rRNA from 1 species
ACGAACGCUGGCGGCGUGCUUAACACAUGCCAGUCGAACGGAAAGGCCUGCUUUCCCUUGUGGAUUGCGGGUACUCGAGUGGCGAACGGGUGAGUAACACGUGAGUGAUCUGCCCCCAACUUGGGUAUAAGCCUGGGAAACUGGGUCUAAUUCCCGAUAGGACUGCAGGGUGGUGCCUGUGGUGGAAAACGAUUUUCUAGUGGUUGGGGAUGAGCUCGCGGCCUAUCAGCUUGUUGGUGGGGUAAUGGCCUACCAAGGCGGCGACGGGUAGCCGGCCUGAGAGGGUGGACGGCCACAUUGGGGCUGAGAUACGGCCCAGACUCCUACGGGAGGCAGCAGUGGGGAAUAUUGCACAAUGGGCGGAAGCCUGAUGCAGCGACGCCGCGUGGGGGAUGACGGCCUUCGGGUUGUAAACUCCUUUCGACCGCGAGGAAGCCACCUGGUUGGAAGGGUGGUGACGGUAGUGGUAGAAGAAGCACCGGCUAACUACGUG